UGGAACAUGUAAAUAAGGGCUGUUUAUCGCAUCCUUUGUUUCUAUGUUUCA
rnacentral:pre_miRNA from 1 species